UGCAAACUGAUUCAAAGGUACAUAGUAAGCCUUUGAACUUGAUAGAUAUAUGAUCAACCUGAGUUGAAUUAACAAAUGAAUGUAUAAACAGACAAGCCAUAAAACAGCUUCAACAGUCAGGAUCAGCUUAGCUGGAUCCUCUGUUCAGGGUCUCACAAGCCUGCAAUCAAGGUGUCGGCCAGGGUUGUGUCCAUCUGAAAGCUUGACUGGGCAAGAAUCUGCUUCCAGACUCCUGUGGAUUGUUGGCAGACUUCAGUUCCUUGAGGUCAUGUGACUGAACGUAUGUCUGAAGCCUGUGCCUUGUUGUCAGUUUUAGCUGCCCUGAGGUUCCCAUGAUCCUUGCCACAUGAGCAAGGAUCCUUGCCACAUGAACCUCUAAUAUGGCUGCUUUCCUACCUCAAGAGAGUUUCUGACUCCAGUAUGCUGAAAUGGAGUUGUCUUGCAUUGCGUGAAAUAAUUAUGGAAGUGACAUCUCAUCACGUUUGCCAUAUUCUCUUAGAGUCAAGUGACAGGUCCCACCUACACUCAGGAGAGGGGAUUACACAAAUGUGUGAACAGCAGAAGGUAGAAACAUUGAGGGUUAUGGUACAGUCUGUUUGCCACAAUCCCUGAAUCCAUUCUUUAAAAAGUUGGUAUAAAAAUACCUACUUUAGAGGGUUGUUAUGUGAAUUCAAAACAAGAUAACAUAUAUCGAGUGUUUACGUGGUACCUGGCACAUAGUGAGCAUUCAAUAAAUGUCACUGAUGAUGGUAAAGAUGAUAAUCAUGGUGAUAACCAGUGGAUAUCCUGAUAAAUGCCUAUAAUCUCCUUAAAUCAUAUAUGUCUUUCUAAGGACUCACCACAAUAUGAGGAAUUUCAAGUUUUGAACUUGACUCUC
rnacentral:lncRNA from 1 species